rnacentral:lncRNA from 10 species
CGAAACUCCAGCUCAAAAAAAAAAAAAAGAAAAGAAAAGAAAAGAAGAAAGAAAAAGAAAAGAAAAGAAGAAAGAAAAAGAAAAGAAAAGAAGAAAGAAAAAGAAAAGAAAAGAAAAAAGAUUCCUAUUCUGCCUAUGUAAACCUAUCCUCUAAGUCAGAGGAAGCUGAGAGGCUGAAGAAGGAGGCUGACAAGGUUUUUUGCAUGUCUGACACCAAUGGCUCCACCUGGACCCGAUGGCUCCGCCUGGACCUGCCAAACUCCUCCUAUGGUUCCACCCAGGAACAACUCAGCUCAAGAAGACAGUUUCAACCACCUAUGAUUUCAUCUCCAUCUCAACCAAUCAGCAGUAAGCAACCAUUUCCUACUCACUCCCACCCCUUUCCCAAACUGCCUUUGGAAAAUCUCUAACCUAGGAGCCUUCAACGAGAUUGAGUUGAAUAGUAAUAACUCUGUUUCCUGCAUGGCAUGGCCAGCCCGGCAUCAAUUAAACUCUUUCCGUACUCCAAUGCUGUGGUCUUUAUUUGUGCAGCUGGCAGGAAGAACCUGUUGGGCAGUUAUAACCUGAAUUCAAACAGAUCCGCAUCUGAGCUUGGUCCAGCCUCAUGGUCCAACCCAGCACUCUCUUUUACUUUCAUUUUGGCUAUUACAGAUAAUAAUAACCAAGGGGUUGCCUAUUUUGCUUUUUCCUUAUUAGUUUGCAUUUCAGUACGCAUCCAGUAAACCAACUUUCUGCGAGUUGGAGCCAUCUUUAAAUUUCACUACUGACCCUUUCCUUUAGAAACUGAGCACAGCAAAGCUGGAGCUCCA